rnacentral:tRNA from 1 species
GGAGCUAUAGCUCAGCGGGAGAGCAUCUGCUUGACGUGCAGGGGGUCGGGGGUUCAAAUCCCUCUAGCUCCACCA